rnacentral:misc_RNA from 1 species
AGUUGUGCUAUACCUUUCAUUUCCUGUGAUAUUAAUUGAUGAAAUACUGAAGUUCUUCUCUCGACAUUCAGGAAUAAGAUUCAGUUUCAGAUUCAGACGUGCUGAUUUACUGCCAAAAAGAGAAAUACGUGACAAGUAAGCUCUCAGACAUGUACUCAGGGGAUGACUGUUGGAAGCUCGAGCACCUAAUGUUGCAGCUGAAAGAUUAGAUGAAGUACAGAACAAAUUUUGUUCCAACUGAAAAGACACGUGUUUUACUUUUUUUUUUUUUU